AGUGAACGCUGGCGGUAGGCCUAACACAUGCAAGUCGAACGGCAGCACAGUAAGAGCUUGCUCUUACGGGUGGCGAGUGGCGGACGGGUGAGGAAUACAUCGGAAUCUACUUUUUCGUGGGGGAUAACGUAGGGAAACUUACGCUAAUACCGCAUACGACCUACGGGUGAAAGCAGGGGAUCUUCGGACCUUGCGCGAUUGAAUGAGCCGAUGUCGGAUUAGCUAGUUGGCGGGGUAAAGGCCCACCAAGGCGACGAUCCGUAGCUGGUCUGAGAGGAUGUCCAGCCACAUGGGAACUGAGACACGUUCCAACCUCCUACGGAGGGCACAGGGGGGGAAUUUUGAACAUGGGGGGAAAGCCGGACCAGGCAAUCCGGGGGGGGGGAAGAAGGCUUCGGGUUGGUAAAGCCCUUUGUUGGGGAAAGAAAAGAGGCAGUUUAAACCCCGCUGUUCUGGCCGGUACCAAAAGAAAAAGAACGGGCUAAUUUGGUG
rnacentral:rRNA from 1 species